ACACGAAGAUCUGAAUUUUAAUAAAAAAUAAAUUAGGAUUUCCAAAAGUAUUUUAACAUUACCUUGUUCUAAGCCAAUCUGCAACAGAUUUCAUUCCGUGUAUGCAACGAAGCAGUGCAAAAAUUGCACAUGGAAAAUAGGGGUGCAGGAAAACGUCGGACUUUUUUUACUCCAACUUCUUCAUUACAGUACAGGAUAAACAACUAGCAAUUCUCCAACUAAAUCUAAAUAACACUACAAAAUUCAUCCACAUCAUGGAAGUAAUAAAAAAAUCUAAGUUAAUGUUAUUAACUUACUUUUAAGUUUCAUCGCCCUCGUCGCUGUACUACAUCCGAUACAUUGCAAAGCCAUUCCUGCAACCCAAUCACUAUGAUGAGGGAAACUGAAUUCAUUGCAAAUUUCGAUCAUGAUUUCAAUAUCUGGAAGGACUGCAGUGGCCUUAGUUCUUUUCUUAUGUUUGGUUUUACUUUUGCACAAAACCAUUAAAAAACAAACCUCUGUAACUGGGAACAAGUUAAUAGACAUUUAACUCAAACAGAAGUUCAGAGGAUUGAAAAAAGAGAUUGGAAGACCUCUUACAAAUGUUCCCCACGCUCAAGUGUAAUAACAUGAAAUAUAUUCAUCUAAUACACAACUUGUUCCAAAUGUCUCUUUCAGCAAUUAUCUGAAAUUAUCAGAUAAAGAGCAAUUCUCACCAACAAUCUUGGUUUCCUAUAGAACAAAUAAGAUGCUAUUCAAACAUUUUUGAAGAAAAUGAAGGUACCAAAUUAAAAUGAAAGAAUUGAUUUCUUGCAUAACUUUCAUGACCUUUUUUGAUUAAACCAUUCCAUGAUUAUUCUGUAACAUCAAGAUUAUGACAAGAAAUGACGCAAUGUAACGAAAUGUUUUGAAUAGAUUUUCCUAGUGUUGAAUCACCACCGACUACGCCACAGAAAACGACGGUGAUUCCUCGAUCUACUGCUAAACCCAGCACGAGUACGUGGCAACAAGGAAAUCGGGUUCAGUUUAUCAGCAACAAUUCUUAUUCAACUGGACGCCAAUCAACAGUCCGUAACUCAGGUUUACCUUUGUUACCAUGCUGGCCCCAGCAACUCACUGCCAUUAUUCUCCUGAUCGUGGUCAACAAGUUGCUGUUAUGAAUUGUUUCGUUACGAGGCCGUACAGUAUCCCUGUUUUUCAAAUCUUAAAUAAUUUAAAUAUUUCAAAUAGCUUCAACUCAGGUUGAACGCAAAGCCCCCGUGCUCACCAAAUGACAGUUUGCAACAAAAACCAAAAAAACAACCGUAAAUCCAUUUUACCUGUUCUUCGUUAUACCCGACAAUUGUUUGUUUGUAAAUAUCACUAUACCUUUGCCGGUAAAUGCUGUAUACAUGCCAGAGAGAAAGA